GGGAAAUUUUCCGGGUUUGUGGUUCUGGAGGUCUGUUUUACACCCUCCAUCCUGCCUUUGUACCCCCAGGAGCUGCCCUGACUCCUCUCCCUGUCCCCAUCCAGGUGUCCCCGGGGUGCUCCUGAGCCUCUCCUGCUCCAGGUGAUGCCCCAGUUCACCUUCGCUUGCUUCUGCGGGCUCCAUGGCUUCUGCAAGAUGAAGAGGAAGAAAGAAGAGUCCAGUGCACAGCAGGAGACGGCCGUGUGAGGAGCAGACAGACCCUGCCGAGCUGUGCCUCGGGACCCCGCCCGGCCCCUCGACGCCGGUUGUGGCCAGGGGAGAGCCAAGGCACGGGAAUGACCUUGCCGGGAGGCAGAAGCAGAGGCUGGGGGUGUCACCCAGGAGCUGCAGCAAUCCCACCGGGUGCUGAGCCCCCAGCACCCCAGCGCUCAGGGUCAGGGGGACCCUGCAUCCCAGGGGGAUAGAGAUUUCCCUCCUGGGCGAGCCAACCUGCCCUUGCUCCGGCAAAUCUCACUAGACAGACCUGGAAAGGGUUUCAAAAGCCGGGGCCAGACCUUGGAGUCCCGGUCCUGGGCAGGGUUGGCCCCUGGCUGGUAAGUUGUCCUGCUGCUGCAGGACUGGCUGAAGGCAGAAAAGGAGCCGGUUUGGGGCUUGUUUCCCCUUUUAAAGCCUCAAGCAAUUGUCUGUGAGUCCAGGAAGCCAUUCUCCGUGCCUCUGCCCUCCUGCUCCCCUGGCUGCAGCACCCUGGGGGGCUCUGGAGGCACCAGACACACGGACCCUGCUCGGACCAGUGCAGACCAGGAGCUCCCACCCCACGGGCAGGGGGGACACCUCGAGGUGUGAGCCCAUCCCCUGCACCCCUGGGCCAUGAGGCUCAGCAGGAGGUUGUUCUCUUUUGGUGAACAGGACCAAAUUCCUGAGCUUGGGGCACCUGAGAUCCGUUCCAGGGACAUGUUCUCCAGGGCAGAAAUCCUUAAAUUCUUCCGUACUGCGCUUCCCUCCUCCCUGUGGAGACCCUCUGAGCCUGGGGCCAAAAGCAGUGCCCAGGACUGCCUGGCAGGAGCUGCUCUUCCCCAGGGUUAGUCCUGCUCCUCCCACCACCUUUCCUGUGGUGGCCGUGCCCAGGAACCCCCUUUCCCCCCCCCCUGUCCCUCUGUCCUUCCCACCCUCUGCUAAAGCCAUACAGGAGCCCCCUGCAUGCUGUGCCUUCCCGAGGGCUCUCAGGCAGACAUUCCCACUGGGAUACCCUCCAAACAGCCCCAAGAUGUUGGGAAAGCUGGUGAGUGUUGGUGAGCCAGGGACUCCCAGGGUUUGGGUCUGGGUGACAGGUCCCCCAUCCCUGAACACACCCAGGGUUUGGGUCUCGGUGCCCAGUUCCCUGUCCCUGAACACACCCAGCAUUCCCAUCCAGGCACCAGCAGCUCCCAUUUGCUGGAGAGCAGCAGGGACAGCCCCUGGAAAGGGAAAAUGCUUGGGGGCAGCAGGUUGGCACAGGGGAGUGUUGACUUUUAGACCCUCGAGGAGACCCCACCAUGGGGGAUGAGCACACUUGGAGCACAAAUCCUCCUCUGUGAUUAAGAGGCUUGACCUUUCCAGGGUUUUCCCAGUGCUCCCAGACCCACACUCGGCCAACAGAGCUGUCUGUGCCACUGACAGCUCCCUUGGGAGCAGAUUUGUUGGCUCAGCCAACAUCCAGGACCAACACGGCUGUUAUUUUAUUUUCUUAUCCAAAGGAUUUAGCACGAAAACCUGAGCUUGGCCAGAAGCCCCAAUAACAACACAGGGUGCAGCUGAGGAGCUUUAAAUCCUCCCUGCUGGGUGCCUGUUUCCUGGGAAAGCAGCUGGCUGGGGUGGGAUGUGCUGGGAGGUGGGACACGGGCAGGGGGCCACGGGCUGUGCGUGGUCUGUGUGUCUCACACCCGGGCUGGGGCAGCUCAGGACACUUUGCUCUUUCCCCUCUUUAAUCCCAAGCUCUGUGAGCUGUGGGAUCCAGGGCUGCAGCCCCCCAGCAGCGUUCCCAGGUGGGUAUUUCCCAGCUGGACUCCAGGUUUUGGCACGGAAGAGGGCACACAGUGACACGGGAGGUGACCUGUGAGGGAGCAGCCAGGCCAGCUGCCCUGUCACUUGUCACCACCAAGCCCAGCAGGUUCCAGCCUGGUUAAUGCUGAUGCUCCCACGUUUUGGCUUGCUUGGGGGACUCAAGGAGGGUCCCUGCUGAUGAUCUGAGCAGGCAUCACCCUGUGAGAGCAGCAGGGCAGGCUCCAGGGAGAGCACCCAGAGCAGAGGUUUGGAGGAAAAUCAUGGAAAAGCAUCCAUCUGUGCUCAGAUGGAACUAAAUCAUUGCUGAGGGGUGAGGAAGAGUGGCCCAGUUCAUUUUUGUGCGAGCUGUGCUGCUGAACCUCUUGGAUCACAGAGCCAGGGGGGUGCUGAGGAUGUGCAGCUAUGGAGGUUCUGUGUCUCUGGAGCAGCACUGGGGAGGAGGCUGGAGCUGGGGAGGGGCUUCCAGUUCUCCCAGUUGCAGUGGGAGUCCCCCAGGCUGGGCUGGGCUGAGCUGUCUCGAAUAUUCCUGUCUCCAGAGAGGGGUUCCCAAGCCCGGGGUUUAAUGAACGUAGCACGGAAAACUGAGACAGGCAGACACUCGCCCACACCCAUUAUAUGUGCAUUUAAAAACACGAGAAAAAACGACCCAGGAGCCGUGUGAACGUUAAAGCACUCGAGCCUCAGCAGUUAUUUUUGAAGAGAAUUUCCCACCUCCCCGGGUGGAUGUAGCUCUCUCGAAGCAACAAUAUGUUUUCCACCGUGUCUCCGAGCGAGAUGGUUUGCUCCUGGAUUGACCUCUAUUGUGUUCAUAAACGGCUCGUGGUGCUUUUUUGAUCCCCCCCCCCUCGUCAGAAUGACUUGACCUCCGGAUUUACGGCUGAAGGUCUUGUCGUCCGCACGUUGUUCUCCCACCAGACUGCAGCCUGAUUUUUUUUUUGCUUUUCUGGAGCGAAUCUGCCAAGAGCCGAGCAUCCCCCACCCUGCCCCGAGCCCCUCGGAGCCCCCCCAUCCUCCCACUGACAAAUCUGCAGUGGGCAAAAGCAAAUGGGUUUUGUUUCUCUCUUUCCCGUGGCGGCGUUUUAAUAGGGCAGCGUCUGCUCGGAGCCUGCGAGGGCUGGGGCGUGACAGCUCCUGUCACAGAACACUCUCUCCCCGUCUCCUCUCUUCCCCCACGUUUGCACAACCCCUGGCAUUUUUAUAAGCUCGGGGUUUGCUUAUUUUCCAGGAUUUCCUCUUGCUCUCCUGCCUCUGGCUCUUCCAACCCCACUUUUGCUUCUCCGCUCCAGAGUCCCCCGGAGCCGAGCGAUGCUGGAGUAGAUAAAUCUUACUGACUUACUAACUAUCACCCAGUAGUGCUUUUCCAAGGUUUUUCCAUCCUCUGGAGGGAGGAAGGAAGGUGCAGGGACGCCCCUGGGCUGAGCAGUGAGCUCAGGCUCUCUGAGGCUGCACAACCCCUUGUGUCCUGGCUGUUCCUGAGCAUCCUUGGGGAAAGGGUGCAGCAAGGAGUGAGGUGUCCUCUCCAUCACUAAUCCAGCUCAGUGUACAGCUGGAAUGUCUGCAAAUCCCUGUUCCCUCACACCAUGGGUUCCCAGGGUCUCUGGAGAGAGCCUCCACCUCCACCCCUCCUCAGGGAAAGGAGAGCCCUGCUCCCGAAAGAUGCAUUUGUUCCCACCAGCAAUAAUCCUCCUUUAAUCCUAUUACACUGAGGAAGGCAUCCAACUUCCCUUGGAGCAGAUGAUGGGAUGCACAGAGGAGGAGGGGCUCCUCUCUCCCUGUGGUGCCUGCCCUGGGUCCCCACUGGGGUUUGGGGGUGGGUGUCCCACGGCUCGUCCCCUUCCCGUGCACCCCGAGCUUUUUCUGCAGUGCCAAAAGUCUGGAGUGAAGCAACGACACCCCUGGGAUGGAGCAGAACAUCCCCUGGAACGAGGAGCUGCCUGGAACGAGGGGUCAGGUGUGGAGCUGAUGCUGGAGUGUCGGGAAAAAACAGUUUUAAUGACCCAAGUGAGCAGAGCAGGGCCUCAGGCUCGCUCCAAGACAGGCAGUGUGGCCCCCCCUGGAAAUAUUGGCUUCCUUGGGAGGGAAGGAAGGAGGGAAAGAGCAUCCAGAUGUUUAUUUGCUUGGAAAACAGCCAGGCUGGGGACCAAAACCUGGGGGUAGGGGGUGCAGAUCCCUUGGGAAGAUGGGCUGGGGAUGGAGGGAUCCUGGUGACAGAUGGAUCCUGGUGUUGGAAUUGUGCUGGUGCUGGAGGGAUCCUGGUGUUGGAAUUGUCCCGGUAACAGAGGGGUCCUGGUGAAUAAGGGGUCUUAGAGACAGAGGGAUCCUGGGUUUGGAGAGAUCCUGGUGCUGCAGGGCUCCUGGUGCUGAAGGAUUCCUGGUGUUGGAGGGGUCCUGGUGCCAGAGGGGUCCUGCCAGAGGAGUGUUCAGGAUCUGGUGUGAGGAGCGUGCAGGAUCUGGUGUGAGGAGCGUGCAGGAUCUGGUGUGAGGAGUGUGCAGGAUCUGGUGUGAGGAGCGUGCAGGAUCUGGUGUGAGCUGCAGGAAUGUUUGUGCACCGAGCUGGAAGGGCACAAGCACCAGCUGUGGGAGGCAAGCCAAGGAAAAACUGCAGCUUGAACUCUCCAUCUGGUAACACAUUCUUAAAGGGUUUGCUGGAGACGUGAAAAAGGAGCAGAAAAUAACCCUGGGGAGCCCGAGGCAGACGCUCCACAGCAGGACAGACUCCCACCCAAGCCACGACCUGGAGCUCUGGGCUCACAGCGAGCUGUGUUUGCUGCAGGCAGGGCAAUCUCUGCAUCCUGGGGGGUAGCCAAGAAAAAAACCACUUUUUUCUUUUAUUAUUAUUAUUAUUAUUAUUAUUUUUUCCCCAGAAGUCACCUGGUCAAAGCCAUCCUUUUUCCCCUCCCACGGGCAGGAUUUUCUUCCAGCUCCUCCUGGGCAGUCGGAUGACACGGACUGGAUGCUCCCAGCCCGUUCCAGCUCACCCCUCCCCGAGCCUUCCUCUAGCUCAAAAUUAUCUGUGGCUGCCCCAAAACGCCACGUUUUCCAGAAUGUUAUUCUGAGGACAAAGCACAGGCAGCUUUGGGCAGCUCCAGGUGGGCACAGGGAAGCUCGUGUUGUUUUGGGAGAAAAUGCUGACCGUGUUCUGUUCCUAUUUUUGCACAUCAGCAGAGCCUCCCGAGUUCAGGGUUUGCAGCCCUGGCGAGUCCUUGGUGAGGACCUUCAGAUUUAGCUUUGGGCCAAAAAAAAAAAAAAAACCCAAAAAAAACCAAGCAAAAAAACCCCCAG